UGUAGAUCGCGUUUUCCGAGCUUACGAAGGUUAUGUAUGCAUUGAUUGGGCGAUUUCUUUGUGAGAAUAAUCUGUAAAUAGGGAAUGCUUAGUCUUUAUAGAAUCGAGACCAGUGUUUAUGAAAAAUGCAAGUGUGCUGUUUGGAUAUUUUUAAUGAAGUUUUUAUUUUUUUUCCUUUUUUUUUGUUAUCGUAAUUUAUUUCUAGCAAACUAAAUCCAAGCUUAUGGAGACUGCGACGUUUUGACGAUUUUCUGUAGACGAGAUGUAAAACUCUUUGGAAUUUCUUUAGUCGUUUUGAUAAUGACGUAAUGCAUAUUUUCCAAUUCGAAGUCCAUAUGUAUGGAUGCUAAAAGUAUUUCAUAUUUCUGUUUUGUUUAAGUGGUACCAGAGGGAAGGAGUGUUAACUAGAGCCUUUUUCCUUGCUUUUCGGUCUUUUGCUUCACGGGUUCCCCAAUAUAUACUGAAGUGCUAGUUGUUUUGAUGGUUAAAUUUGUCUCAGCUAGGACAGGAUCUUCAACUUUAAGAAGUUAUAUCGAACAAAUAAACUUGCAGUUCAGAUGCUAAAAAUCAAUUAUUUUUUUUAAUAAUAUUGGGAGUUGUCUCUAGUCACGUUUUAAACGUUCCGAAUACAUUUAAAGUAGUUCAGAAAAAAACGAGAGUUUAUAGAAUCGUAGAGGCCUAUUUUAUAAUAUACUGUAAGUUCACGACAAAUAAUGCCAUUUGUAAAUACCCUUUGUCUAAUACUGGGUAUCUAUCCAUAUCUGAUAUUUUCAUUAAAAAAAAAAUAUGCUAACGAUAAUGUUUCAUCCCAAUAGAUUAUCUUAGCCGCCGCUCUGGUCCUCGCCGCCGCCGCCCCUCAGGAGCCUCGGCCAAUCGAGAUCCUCCUCGACGAGCGCGUCCCUCCCGAGGGCGGCGCUUACUCCUUCAAGAUUGAGACCGAGAACGGCAUCGUCCAGAAUGAGGAGGGCGCCCCAGGUCUGGAGGGCCAGACCAACGUUCAGGGUGCCUUCAGCUACCUCCUGGACGACGGCAGCGUUGUUGAAGUGAGGUACAAGGCCGACGAGAAUGGAUUCCAGGCCGAGUCUCCUCUGCUGCCUGUCGCCCCCGAAUUCCCACACGAGAUCCCACAGUUCGUGCUCGAUCAGAUCGCCUUCGCCGAGGAGCAGCGUCGUCUGGAGGCCCUCAACCCACAGCCACAGCAACUUCAGUAAACCCCCGAAAAUGAGGCACUCAUUGAAAAAUGAUCACAUUUUAUAGGCAAAGCUGAUACAUUGUGGAAGAUGAUUAUCAUUGGUAUAGAUAUCAUUUCAACAAGCAUUCGCAGAUUGUGAUAACACUUGUGUGUGAAAUAAACGAGUCAUUUAAA